rnacentral:rRNA from 1 species
UAGUCGGAGGUGUGUCUCGGACGGUCGGUUCGCCGCUUGUCGGUGCUCAACUGGCCGGUCCGGACGUCCUGCCGGUGGGGCUAUAAAAGGCUCCGUUAUCCUUCUUUGGUCCUCUUCAUUGAGUGCCUUGGUGGGCCGGCACGUUUACUUUGAACAAAUUAGAGUGCUCAAAGCAGGCCGUUGGUCGCCUGAAUACUGUGUGCAUGGAAUAAUGGAAUAGGACCUCGGUUCCAUUUUGUUGGUUUUCAGAACUUGAGGUAAUGAUUAAUAGGGACGGACGGGGGCAUUCGUAUUGCGACGUUAGAGGUGAAAUUCUUGGAUCGUCGCAAGACGAACCGAUGCGAAAGCAUUUGCCAAGAACGUUUUCGUUGAUCAAGAACGAAAGUUAGAGGUUCGAAGGCGAUCAGAUACCGCCCUAGUUCUAACCAUAAACGAUGCCAGCUAGCCAUCCGCCGAAGUUCCUUAUAUGACUCGGCGGGCAGCUUCCGGGAAACCAAAGCUCUUGGGUUCCGGGGGAAGUAU